GACGAACGCUGGCGGCGUGCCUAAUACAUGCAAGUAGAACGCUGAAGGAGGAGCUUGCUCUUCUGGAUGAGUUGCGAACGGGUGAGUAACGCGUAGGUAACCUGCCUGGUAGCGGGGGAUAACUAUUGGAAACGAUAGCUAAUACCGCAUAACAGUAGAUGUUGCAUGACAUUUACUUAAAAGGUGCAAUUGCAUCACUACCAGAUGGACCUGCGUUGUAUUAGCUAGUUGGUGGGGUAACGGCUCACCAAGGCGACGAUACAUAGCCGACCUGAGAGGGUGAUCGGCCACACUGAGACUGAGACACGGCCCAGACUCCUACGGGAGGCAGCAGUAGGGAAUCUUCGGCAAUGGACGGAAGUCUGACCGAGCAACGCCGCGUGAGUGAAGAAGGUUUUCGGAUCGUAAAGCUCUGUCGUAAGAGAAGAACGAGUGUGAGAGUGGAAAGUUCACACUGUGACGGUAUCUUACCAGAAAGGGACGGCUAACUACGUG
rnacentral:rRNA from 1 species